rnacentral:rRNA from 1 species
UACGUAGGGUGCAAGCGUUGUCCGGAAUUAUUGGGCGUAAAGAGCUCGUAGGCGGUCUGUCGCGUCUGCUGUGAAAACCUGGGGCUUAACCUCGGGCCUGCAGUGGGUACGGGCAGACUAGAGUUCGGUAGGGGAGACUGGAAUUCCUGGUGUAGCGGUGAAAUGCGCAGAUAUCAGGAGGAACACCGGUGGCGAAGGCGGGUCUCUGGGCCGAUACUGACGCUGAGGAGCGAAAGCGUGGGGGAGCGAACAGG